rnacentral:miRNA from 1 species
UCACCUUCCCUGCAGCCACU